AGUAGAGUGGCGGACGGGUGAGAAACGCGUAGGAAUCUACCUGGUAGUGGGGGACAACCCGGCGAAAGCCGGGCUAAUACCGCAUACGAUCCACGGAUGAAAGCAGGGGACCGCAAGGCCUUGCGCUAUCAGAUGAGCCUGCGUCGGAUUAGCUAGUUGGUGAGGUAACGGCUCACCAAGGCAACGAUCCGUAGCUGGUUUGAGAGAACGACCAGCCACACUGGGACUGAGACACGGCCCAGACUCCUACGGGAGGCAGCAGUGGGGAAUAUUGGACAAUGGGGGCAACCCUGAUCCAGCAAUGCCGCGUGUGUGAAGAAGGCCUUCGGGUUGUAAAGCACUUUCGAUGGGGAAAAACAAGCCAGACCUAACACGUCUGGCCCUGAUGGUACCCAGAGAAGAAGCACCGGCUAACUCUGUGCCAGCAGCCGCGGUAAUACAGAGGGUGCAAGCGUUAAUCGGAAUUACUGGGCGUA
rnacentral:rRNA from 1 species